AACGAACGCUGGCGGCGUGCCUAACACAUGCAAGUCGCGCGAGAAAGGGGGGGCAACCCCCUGAGUAAAGCGGCGAACGGGUGAGUAACACGUAGGUAACCCACCCUCGAGCCCGGGAUAACCUACCGAAAGGUGGGCUAAUACUGGAUAUGACCACGGGAAUCUCGGUUCCCGCGGUGAAAGGUGGCCUCUGCUUGCAAGCUACUACUCAAGGACGGGCCUGCGUGCCAUUAGCUAGUUGGUGGGGUAACAGCCCACCAAGGCGAUGAUGGCUAGCUGGUCUGGGAGGAUGGCCAGCCACACUGGGAGUGAAACACGGCGCAGACUCCUACGGGAGGCAGCAGUGGGGGAUAUUGCGCAAUGGGCGAAAGCCUGACGCAGCGACGCCGCGUGGGUGAUGAAGGCCUUCGGGUCGUAAAGCCCUGUCGAGGGGAAAGAAACGGUCUCGACCCAAUACGUCGGGACCCUGACGGUACCCCUAAAGGAAGCACCGGCUAACUCCGUGCCAGCCGCCGCUGUAACAC
rnacentral:rRNA from 1 species